rnacentral:lncRNA from 1 species
GUGCCCAGCCUCCGGAAGGGCGGGUCUGGCCAGCGGCCACGCAGGAAGCAUGUAGGAAGCGUGGCGCCUCAGCCCACAAUCGUAAUCACCUUUAAUCUCUUGCUCAAAAUAACCCAAAGUCAAGAUUUGCACGAUUCAGGGUCGGCUCAAAGUAGGGUGAAUGACGGAGCAGCCUCCUCUGGGAGAGCUCAUGACCGCCUGGAAGGCGUCCGAUGCGGCGGAUUCAGAGAUGGCCUCUGGGAGGGGCUGGUCAUCAGGUGGGGCUGCCGAGGGCCUUGGAGGGAGACCCCAGCUCCCUGCCCGUGAGGCUAGGCCUGUGAGACCACCCCCACCCACCUCCCGGGACCUGCUGGUCUAUGUGCCGGGGCAUCCGUGCUGACAGAUGGACAUCCCGCUACCCCAGAGAGAAGAGAAAGACUGCAAGGUGGAGAAGCCUGGCUGAAGCUUGGGGACUCACACUCACCAUCUCCACCUUCCUCGUGUGCUCAUUCAUCCUUCAUUCUCACAAUCAUUCAUUCAUUCAGUAUUUAUUGAGAGCUUGGGGGUGGACAGGGAGGGAACCAAGAUGGACGGAACAGGGUUGUUGUCUUCAUGGAUCACAGAGGCUCUGAGCGCUGAAGAGAACAUGAGUAAUGGAAUCCCACAGUCCGACCCCAAUGCUGGACACCGAUCCUGUUGCUUGCUGCUGUGUGCCCCUGGGCAAGUGGCCCACCCACCCUGGGCUUCAAUUUUUAUGCCUGUAAAAUGACCCUGGAAGGACUAAAUAAAAGGACACAUGGGAAGAACCCAGCCUGGCUCCUGUCUCAGUAGGCAUGGGUCCCCUGUGGAAGAACUUGGGACAUGCAGGGGAGAGUUCUGGUGGAGGAGGCAUCCCAGCCCACCUGCGGGCCCUACUGCUAAUAGCUGGGCUCAUGUCCCACCCGAGGCUGGGACGAUGGCC